rnacentral:rRNA from 1 species
CCCUUAGAUGUUCUGGGCCGCACGCGCGCUACACUGAUGCAUUCAACGAGUUUCUUCCUGGUCCGAGAGGAAUGGGUAACCUUUUGAAAGUGCAUCGUGAUAGGGAUAGACUAUUGCAAUUAUUGGUCUUCAACGAGGAAUUCCUAGUAGACGUAGUUCAUCAGACUGCAUCGAUUACGUCCCUGCCCUUUGUACACACCGCCCGUCGCUCCUACCGAUUGAAUGCUCAGGUGAGCCAUUCGCACUUUCAUCAUGCUGGUUUCCAGUUUUGAUGAAGGAAAGUCUUGCGAACCUUAUCAUUUAGAGGAAGGAGAAGUCGUAACA